rnacentral:sRNA from 1 species
GGCUGCAGAUCCCCCACGAGCCCGAGCUGAUGAGGAAGGAGAUCUCCCGGCUCAACAGACAGUUGGAAGAGAAAAUAAAUGACUGUGCCGAAGUGAAGCAGGAGCUGGCGGCCUCCAGGACGGCGCGGGAUGCUGCGCUGGAGCGGGUGCAGAUGCUGGAACAGCAGGUGUCUGUCCCUCGGGCUCCGGACGGCACCGACCAGAUGUCUGCUGGCCGGUGGUAGCUGAGAUCAUGGGACAGGCUGGGCUGAAGCCUUGGUGGCACUGAGCGGGCAGUGGUCACGGUGGGGACGCUUCCUCCUUCCUUGAGCAGAAAUGUGUGUCUCGCCUCUCCUCAGAUUCUCGCUUACAAGGAUGACUUCAUGUCAGAAAGGGCCGAUCGGGAACGGGCUCAAAGUAGGAUUCAAGAACUGGAGGAAAAGGUCACCUCUUUGCUGCACCAGGUGUCCUGGAGACAGGAUUCUCGAGAGCCAGACGCCCGCCGGAUUCACGUUGGGAGCAAAACUGCCAAGUACUUGGCCACCGAUGCAUUAGAGCUUAUGGUGCCUGGUGGCUGGAGGCCUGGGACUGGGUCCCAGCAGCUGGAACCCCCUGCAGAGGGCGGGCAUCCUGGCGCGGCCCAGAGAGGCCAGGGGGACCUUCAGUGCCCUCACUGCCUGCAGUGCUUCAGUGACGAGCAAGGUGAAGAGCUCCUCAGGCAUGUGGCCGAGUGCUGCCAGUGAUGGAGACUCACCCGUGCCCUUGGGAUCCCCUGGCCCGGCGCAGCUGCCCUCAGGGACAGGGUGGGUGCUCUCAGAUGCCAUGGGUUGAGCUCUACUGAGAGCCAAGGCCCCUAGAAUAGAUGCGGGGCACUGUGAUCAUUCACUUUGGUCCCUUUGGCUAUGGAACAGGCUGGGUCACAGGG